rnacentral:rRNA from 1 species
AGAGUUUGAUCAUGGCUCAGGACGAACGCUGGCGGCGUGCCUAACACAUGCAAGUCGAACGGGCAUAUUAGCAAUAGUAUGCAAGUGGCGGACGGGUGAGUAACACAUGAGUAACCUGCCUUAUACAGGGGGAUAACACUUAGAAAUAGGUGCUAAUACCGCAUAAUAACUUUUGCUGACAUCAGUGAAAGAGGAAAGGAGUAAUCCGGUAAAAGAUGGGCUCAUGUUCGAUUAGUUAGUUGGCGGGGUAAUGGCCCACCAAGACGACGAUCGAUAGCCGAACUGAGAGGUUGAACGGCCACAUUGGAACUGAGAAACGGUCCAGACUCCUACGGGAGGCAGCAGUGGGGGAUAUUGCGCAAUGGGGGAAACCCUGACGCAGCAACGCCGCGUGAAGGAAGAAGGCUUUAGGGUUGUAAACUUCUUUGAUUAGGGACGAACAAAAUGACUGUACCUAAGGAACAAGCCACGGCUAACUACGUGCCAGCAGCCGCGGUAAUACGUAGGUGGCAAGCGUUGUCCGGAAUGACUGGGUGUAAAGGGCGAGCAGGUGGAAUAAAAAGUCAGAUGUGAAAUUUAUUAGCUUAACUAAUAAGCUGCAUCUGAAACUGAUAUUCUUGAGUACUGGAGAGGAAAGCGGAAUUCCUAGUGUAGCGGUGAAAUGCGUAGAUAUUAGGAGGAACACCAGUGGCGAAGGCGGCUUUCUGGACAGUAACUGACACUGAGGCGCGAGAGCGUGGGGAGCGAACAGGAUUAGAUACCCUGGUAGUCCACGCCGUAAACGAUGGAUACUAGGUGUGGGAGGUAUUGACCCCUUCCGUGCCGGCGUUAACACAAUAAGUAUCCCACCUGGGGAGUACGACCGCAAGGUUGAAACUCAAAGGAAUUGACGGGGGCCCGCACAAGCAGUGGAGUAUGUGGUUUAAUUCGAAGCAACGCGAAGAACCUUACCAGGGCUUGACAUGUACUUGAAUAUGCUAGAGAUAGUAUAGCUCUUUUAGAGCAAGUAUGCAGGUGGUGCAUGGUUGUCGUCAGCUCGUGCCGUGAGGUGUUGGGUUAAGUCCCGCAACGAGCGCAACCCCUGUGGUCAGUUACCAUCAUUUAGUUGGGGACUCUGGCUAGACUGCCGGUGACGAAUCGGAGGAAGGUAGGGACGACGUCAAAUCAUCAUGCCCUUUAUGUCCUGGGCUACACACGUACUACAAUGGCCAAUACAGAGGGAAGCGAUGCCGCAAGGUUUAGCAAAACCCAGAAAAAUGGUCUCAGUUCGGAUUGUAGGCUGAAACUCGCCUACAUAAAGAUGGAAUUGCUAGUAAUGGCAGGUCAGCAUACUGCCGUGAAUACGUUCCCGGGCCUUGUACACACCGCCCGUCAAGCCAUGGAAGAUGGUGGUACCUGAAGUCUGUACCCGCAAGGAGCGGCCUAAGGUAAAACUAUUAACUGGGGCUAAGUCGUAACAAGGUAACC